UGAUGGAUGCAACUUUUCCCAUAGAAGUGCAUAUAGGCCUCAUUAAUUCCUUAUCUAUCGCAUGGUCUGCCUUCCAAGCUCUUAAUGCUUACAUUGUGGCGUCCAACUACUGCUACAUUCAUACAAAUUCUCUCUCUCACUUGCUUUUCCCAAACCCUCUCUACCUCUCUAACUUUCUGGUUUCUCUCCUCUUCUCUUCCGCUCUAAGGUAGGUUUAGCUAUAUAGCCAUGGUGAUGAUGGGCUUGGAAAGGUUGAUGGUGACUUUGAAAUCUAAAAUAAGGUCCUUGAAGAUGAAGAAACCGUAUGACAAGAUUGAAAAGAGUGAAAGCAUGAGGAUUGAGAUCAGAAGCAGGAAGGCUCAGAAGCUUAUUCAAAAGACCCUCAAAAUUGCGGAUUCACCCAAGACCAAGGCUAUUGUUUUCUGACUUCUGAGUGUUUCUCAUCUAAUGAUAACAGACCAUAAAUAACAGGCUGGUUAAUUUCUGUUUUUGAUGUUAAACAUUGUAGUUUUAUACAAGAUGGUAUAAGUAUCUCUUUUUUUU